UUGUGGUGUGGUGCAGUGGUGUGGUGGAUUGUGGUCCAGUGGCAAUUGAGGCAGUGAUGAUGGCUGGUGAUGGUAAUGGUAAUAAUGGUGAUGGUGGGGAACUAUAGUGGUAGUGAUGGUAAUGGUGGUGGUGAUGAUGUGGUGUGGUGGGGGGGAGCAAACCCCUGACAGGAUGUCAAGACGGUAACACAAAGUGAUUGUCAGGCCUCAAGGUCAGUUUGGGACCUUCCAACCUCUGUUCACUACAGUUACCACCAUGACUGCCAGCCACGUAUUUUUGUCACUACUUUCAUGAGAAAUACUGUUUGUUAGCAGUUGAUCAUUUAAGUCAGAUGUGUCCAAACUAUCGAGCAUGCCCGACGGGCAAACAGUGAUACCAGAUCACAAUGAGUAAUGAGAAUGAGGGUUGAUGACGUCAGAAGAGGGAAAACCACAGGCAGGGAUCUGGCAACAAACAGUACUACCAGAUGUAGCUGAGCCCUGUACAAUAUCUACUCCUUCACCGGAAAAAGACUGGCGGGCAAAGUUGUAAACUGAUGAGUGGUGUCAAAUACUGGUUCAUGGUUCAGUUUCACUCUGACCCUGCUAAGGAGUCGGGUGCAGCACUUGUCUCACCAUGCCGAACACAGUCUAGAGGAAGAAAAUAGCCUUGUGUGGGAUAAUUCUUGGAUUGUAUAUAAAAAAGAAAAAACAAGCCAGAGCUCAUAGGCGUGUGUGGUGCAAGAACUGGUUGAGGAAAAGAGGAGAGUUGGGAAGUCAUGCAACUAUAUAUCGCGAACUCCACGACAAGCCUGAAGAUGGUUUUAUCCAGUAUAUGAGAAUGGAUGUAAAUAGUUUCCACACACUCCUAGGAAAAGUGGAACCAUACAUAACAAAACAAGAUACCCACUUGAGGCAGAGCAUAUGUGCAGAGGCUCGUCUGGAAGCAACCCUCAGAUUCUUAGCAUCUGGAUGUUCAUACACAGCACUGCAAUACUCCACCAGGAUAUCCAAGCUGAGUUUGUCUCUCAUCAUACCGGAAACAUGCAAAGCAAUAUACACAGCUCUUAGAGAUGAUUACUUGAAGACACCUACAACGCCAGAGGAGUGGAUGACUGUGGCACAUGGAUUUCAGAGAAGAUGGAAUUUCCCAAACUGUUUGGGAGCUAUUGACGGGAAGCAUGUGUCGAUAAGAGCUCCACGUGAUAGUGGUUCAUAUUUUUACAACUACAAAGGCAACCACAGCAUUGUACUUCUUGCCAUAUGUGACGCAAAUUGUGAAUUUAUAUAUGCGGACAUAGGCACAAAUGGUAGAGUAUCAGAUGGUGGUGUGUGGGACAAGUGUUCUGUCAGUAGUCUCAUACAAAAUAAUACUGCUGGUUUGCCAGAAGAUGCAAUUCUUGGAAGUAGUAGUCUGCCAUUUCCAUAUGUUUUUGUGGCAGAUGAUGCAUUUCCAUUGCAGCAACACAUGAAACCUUUUUCACAUAGGAGUCAGGAUACAAGAGAGCGCAUUUUCUCAUACCGGCUCUCUAGGGCAAGGCGAACCGUGGAAAAUGCAUUUGGUAUUUUGGCCAAUAGAUUUCGUGUUUCACUCACCAAUUGAUCUACCUCCAUCAAAGAUUGAAUAUAUUGUUUUAGCAUGCACCUCUUUGCAUAACUUUCUCAUAAGAGACCAUGUGAGACACUACACGCCGGAAGGAUCUUUAGAUGUUGAAGAUCUGUCAGUAGGACAAAUUAUUCCUGGAACAUGGCGACAAACUCCUGAGUUACCAGGAACACAGAGAGUAAUCUGUAAUGACAUGGCUGAUGGUAAGAAUGUGCGUGAACAGUUUAUGGAUUACUUUAAUGGUGAAGGGGCAGUAUCAUGGCAACACUUGUACAUAGGUGAAGAGGGUUAAUUGUGAUAAAUGUCUAUAUACCUAGGUGUAUUUCAUGUUGUGUAUUGUCUCUGAAUGUAAUACUUAUUGAACUUUGUAUUCAUGUACAUAUGUGCACAUGUGAAACAAAAGACUUGGCUUUCUUUAUGUGUAAACAGCAAAUUAUUAUUAUUUCUCAUAAUGAAAUUAUAAUAACAGUG